rnacentral:rRNA from 2 species
GGGAACUCAAAGGAGACUGCCAGUGAUAAACUGGAGGAAGGUGGGGAUGACGUCAAGUCAUCAUGGCCCUUACGACCAGGGCUACACACGUGCUACAAUGGCGCAUACAAAGAGAAGCGACCUCGCGAGAGCAAGCGGACCUCAUAAAGUGCGUCGUAGUCCGGAUUGGAGUCUGCAACUCGACUCCAUGAAGUCGGAAUCGCUAGUAAUCGUGGAUCAGAAUGCCACGGUGAAUACGUUCCCGGGCCUUGUACACACCGCCCGUCACACCAUGGGAGUGGGUUGCAAAAGAAGUAGGUAGCUUAACCUUCGGGAGGGCGCUUACCACUUUGUGAUUCAUGACUGGGGUGAAGUCGUAACAAGGUAACCGUAGGGGAACCUGCGGUUGGAUCACCUCCUUA